rnacentral:lncRNA from 1 species
GCUUUUGCGUCAACGAUUUUGACGUCAAAAUUCUUCCUAAACACAACACACGCAGUUCAAAACCAAUCAUUCGCACGAACAACCUGGCUCUGAUACCACUAUUGGGAAAUCUUUGGGGCGACAUCACAUGCGCAGCGGAAGAACAAGAAAACAAAAUCCCCGAUUCCCAAAGAGAUGUUCGUCGUCGUGCGAAGAUUGGUGCGUAAAAUCCGCGAAACUUAAAACUACGUAUAGAGUAGAUUGUGUUACCUAGGGAGAUCGUAUAUCCCUGUUUCCUUGCAGAUCCUUAGGAGAGGGUGAAAGAGGUCAAGCGUCCUCCUCUCUAG